UACGUAGGAGACAAACGUUAUCCGGAGUUACUGGGCGUAAAGGGCGUGUAGGUGGUUACGUAAGUCUGGCGUGAAAUUUCUCGGCUUAACCGAGGCAGGUCGUCGGAUACUGCGAGACUAGAGGACGGUAGAGGCGUGUGGAAUUCCGGGUGUAGUGGUGAAAUUCGUAGAUAUCGGGAGGAACACCGGUGGCGAAGGCGGAUCUCUGGGCCAUUACUGACGCUGAGGAGCGAAAGCGUGGGGAGCGAACAGG
rnacentral:rRNA from 1 species